rnacentral:rRNA from 1 species
CCUACCGAGCCUAGUUAUAGCUGGUUGCUUAAGAAAUGAAUGUUAGUUCAGCCUUAUGUAAUUCUAUAACCAAAACUUAUUAACAAAAAGAACAAAAGCAAUACAUAAGAGUUAGUCAAAGGGGGUACAGCCCCUUUGAAACAGAACACAACCUUAUUUAGGAGGACAAGGAUCAUACCAUAAAAGGACAAAAUUACCUCAGUGGGCCCAAAAGCAGCCACCUGUAAAGAAAGCGUUAAAGCUCCGGUAAAUACAGACCAAUAAUAAAGACAAUACACUCCCCACCCCCUAAAAAUAUUAAGCUAUCCUAUGCACACAUAGGAGAAACAAUGCUAAAAUCAGUAAUAAGAGGGCCCAAGCCCUCUCCUAGCACAUGUGUAAGUCAGAACGGACCGACCACUGACAAUCAACGGACCCAAACAGAGAGAAAAAGAACAAACUACAAAAAACAAGAAAAAUCUAUUUAAUACCACAAACCGUUAACCCAACACAGGAGUGCCUAAAGGAAAGACUAAAAGGAGAAGAAGGAACUCGGCAAACACAAACCCCGCCUGUUUACCAAAAACAUCGCCUCUUGCUAACAAAGGAAGUACUAGAGGUCCCGCCUGCCCUGUGACCACAAAGUUUAACGGCCGCGGUAUCCUGACCGUGCGAAGGUAGCGUAAUCAUUUGUCUUUUAAAUAGAGACCUGUAUGAAUGGCAUAACGAGGGUUUAACUGUCUCCUUCCCCUAGUCAAUGAAAUUGAUCUGCCCGUGCAGAAGCGGACAUAAAUACAUAAGACGAGAAGACCCUAUGGAGCUUUAGACAAAAGAUCAAACAUGUAAAGAAACCAAGUUAACCAAAAGGAACACAAAGGCCACGAAACCCGACGUAAACUGAUCCAAAUGUCUUCGGUUGGGGCGACCAUGGGGGAGAAAAAAGCCCCCACGAGGAACAGGGACUAAUCCCUAAGCCAAGAGAGACAUCUCUAAGCAACAGAAAAUCUGACCAAAAGUGACCCAGAAUACUAAUUCUGAUCAACGAACCAAGUUACCCUAGGGAUAACAGCGCAAUCCUUUCCC